rnacentral:rRNA from 1 species
GAUGUACGCUGGCGGCGUGCCUAAUACAUGCAAGUCGAGCGAAUGGAUUAAGAGCUUGCUCUUAUGAAGUUAGCGGCGGACGGGUGAGUAACACGUGGGUAACCUGCCCAUAAGACUGGGAUAACUCCGGGAAACCGGGGCUAAUACCGGAUAACAUUUUGAACCGCAUGGUUCGAAAUUGAAAGGCGGCUUCGGCUGUCACUUAUGGAUGGACCCGCGUCGCAUUAGCUAGUUGGUGAGGUAACGGCUCACCAAGGCAACGAUGCGUAGCCGACCUGAGAGGGUGGUCGGCCACACUGGGACUGAGACACGGCCCAGACUCCUACGGGAGGCAGCAGUAGGGAAUCUUCCGCAAUGGACGAAAGUCUGACGGAGCAACGCCGCGUGAGUGAUGAAGGCUUUCGGGUCGUAAAACUCUGUUGUUAGGGAAGAACAAGUGCUAGUUGAAUAAGCUGGCACCUUGACGGUACCUAACCAGAAAGCCACGGCUGACUACGUGCCAGCCGCCGCGGUAA